AGUUUCAACAACCCUGACAGAGCUGU
rnacentral:piRNA from 1 species